GAGUUUGAUCGUGCUCAGGAUGAACGCUGGCGGCGUGCCUAAUACAUGCAAGUCGUACGAACAGCGGAAAGUGCUUGCACUUUCCAAGUAAGUGGCGAACGGGUGAGUAACACGUGAAUAACCUACCUCAAAGUCUGGGGAUAACCAUUGGAAACAGUGACUAAUACCGGAUAAAACCUAGUAGCACAUGCUACAAGGUUAAAAGCUGCGUUUGCAGCGCUUUAAGAUGGAUUCGCGGUGCAUUAGUUAGUUGGUGAGGUAAAGGCUCACCAAG
rnacentral:rRNA from 1 species